UCGGCCUUCACAAACGGGCCGCGGCGCGCUUGCCGCGGCGUCCGCUCCGCCCGAGCCUAGUAAUGGGGCGAGGCGUCACGGCGGCGUUCCUGCACGCCUUGUCGGCUUUGGAGCUAGCCUUGGCGGGGGCGGGCCGAGGCGUCGCGGCGGAGGACGAUAAGCAGACGAGCACGCGCCGCCGGCGCGUUUGCCGUGGGCGUCCGCUUCGCCAGAGCCCAGGAGUGGGGCGAGGGGUCGCGCCGGCGUUCCUACGCGCCUUGUCGCCCUUGAAGCUGGCCUUGGCGGGCCGAGGCGUCGCGGCGUAGGACGAUGAGGCGGCCGGCGUGCUCUGUUGGGGCGACGCGUCGCGGCGCUCCGGCUCCAGCAGAUGACGGCAGAGAGCCAGGUGUGGCUUUGUGUCGCCAACAACCACGAGGUCAUCGGCACCGGCCACCGUGCCAGGCUGGACCAACUGCUGCAGCCCCCCUCCGCCGUCGCCGUCGCCGUGGCACAAGAAGCGCGAGUUCCCCCUCGCUGUCGGAGGCUGGGUGUCGUUCUCUAGUGCAGAUUGUCUAAUUGAGUUUCUGAAAGCGUCGUCCACGUCUGCACUUCAUGGGACCAUACACUGGGAACUCACGCCUGAGAACUUCCUGCUCACCAGAUUGGUUUCAGUUUCUCUGUCUCCAUCGAAGAAGUGGCAAGCAUGGUUAGGGCGAGCAACGAGGGUUCCUGUAGUGCAUAACCAUUUCAAGUCGCCCAACUUCUAAAGAGAGAUCAUAAGUGCCAGCUACUGAAGCAAAAAAAGGACCUGAUACACAUUGUGAUAUUCCUAAUGGUUGCUGCUGACGCUAAAAAAAUUACUCCUGAAGCACUAGAAGUGCCCUCUCUAUGGCGCAUCACUCACUGGAUCCAGAUGGGCAACAUUCCGCUUCAAGAUUAAAGACUGCAGAAGAAAGGGACAAAAUACCAAAAAGCUGAAAAUUUGAAGAAAGGUGGAUGUAGGGAACUACACAACUUGAUUCAAGGUUACGAAGGGAAAAAGCGCAUUGAUUGAGCAGGAGAAAACAAUAAUGGGCCGAGGCAAGGAUAUAGUGCUCAGUUAGUAAAGAGAUAUGUGGGAAGUGGAGCAGCGGGAUGCAAAUGGAAUUUUUGUGACUCACUGAAGGUGAGCAAAACUUCAGAAAAGAAAUUGCAACAGAAGUAGAGCCUCAUCACCAAGAGAGCAUAGGGAUUUUAAGUUUUUUGUAGCCUGCACCGGAGACAGUAGAGUUAAGUUUCUACAUCUCAGUGUACAGUUUAACUAUAUCAGGUUAUUUACUAUGAAGUAAAUAUUUGCUUUUGCCA